rnacentral:lncRNA from 1 species
UUUUUUAUAGCUUUAGCAAAGAAAAAAAAAAAAGAAAAACUCAAUUCAACCCUCUAUCUCAGUUGUGAAUUCUAAUCGAGACACAGAUAAAAGGCACCUAUGCGCAAUUAAAAUCGAUAUAUAUUUUUACACGACUGGAUAAAUAAGAUAUGGGUUAGAUGAACUGCAAGCAGUGUCGCAAUAUAGAAACUUCAAAUAAUAAAUCAAAAUAAGUUAAAAUUUAAGAACCAAAGUAUAGCGUUAUUCACAGUUUGAGAGCCAAAAGUGUAAUUUAUCCUUACUUAAAACACGUUUUAUAAUUCUUAAUAAGUUUAAGGGAAGCAAUAAUAUUAGUACAUUUUCAAGUGAGAUGUACACUAGGCAUUAUGGACACUGACACGCGAUACGAGACACAACGCAAUUUGGACACGACCACUCGGCAAUUUUCAAAAUAUUAGGUAGUACAUUUCAAAGUGAGAUGUACACUAGGCAUUAUGGACAUUGACACGCGAUACGAGACACAACGCAAUUUGGACACGGCAACUCGGUAGUUUUCAAAACAUUAGGACACGGACACGACAUAAAUGCUGCUUAUAAAAUAUAAUAUUAUUAAUAUAAUAAUAUAUAUUUAUUAUAGAUAAAAUAUUAAUUUUGUAAAAUAUUGUUAUAUUUCUCGUGCGAAUGAAAGUUAGUAAAAUUUUUAUUAAUAAUUUAUAUAUUUUAAAAAAAUUUUCUGCACCAUACAUAAUUUAUUUAUAUUGUUAAAAAAAAUUACAUAUAUUCAUCAAGAAGUUAAAAUAUUUAUUAUCUUAUAUUUAUAAUACAUAAAAAAGUAAAAUAAAAUAAAAUAUAUAUAUAUAUAUAUAUAUAUAUAUAUAUAUAUAUAUAUUUUAAUUAUUUACGUUGUGAAUUGACAUUAAAUGGGCAUUUGAGAAAUAUCCACAUUAGAUAUGUGUUCGGCGCGAUGUCCGUACGUACUACAUAAAAUGGAUAUUUUAAGCUCACUAUAUUUAAAAAUUAUUAAUUUUUUACUUGCCACUGCAAUUCUUAUGGAAUGUACGAGUAAAAUUUCUCUUAAACAAAAGAGAAAAAAACAAAAGAGAGGAAAAUAGACAUAAGCUGGAUCCAGUGAUCCCUCAUACCUAUUUAUUACCAGAAAAAGGCACCAAUGCUCUUUUUCUUUUUUCCAUACCUACUAUAAAAGGAGUGCACAAAUCCAUUGUCAUGUCCCCACACUCACCCCCCCCCUCUAUUAACCCUUCCCGCCAUUAUCUUUCUCUCUGACUCAAACACAGAAGAGAGAGAGAGAGAGAGAGAGAGAUAAAGAGAGAUGAAGCGAAACCGCGCAGAGCCCGCGCCACCCCAAACACCCGCCAAAACCGCGCGCCGCUACGCGGCCCCGAACGCGCACCAGAAACUCCCCCAGAAGCCGCAGGUCCGCGCCGCCGCCGAGGAGAAGCCGCCGGCGCCGGCGCCGGCGCCGUCGCCGGCGGCGGAGGUGGUGGAGCAGGAGAUCGAGUGGGCCCCGCAGCUGGCGGGGUGGGACCCGGCGGGGGAGGUGGCGGGAGCGUGGAGCUCGUGGGGCGUGGCGGAGGAGACGCUCCUGGGGUGGUUCCCCUUCGCCGACGAGCACUUCCACGGCGCGGCGGCGGCGGCGGCGGGGGCGGCGCCGUUCUUGGAGGAGGAGAGCUUCUGCUGCUCCUACUGCUAUUAUUACCACGACGACAUUUGGCAUCUGCAGCACAUCCACGACGUUCCCAAGCAUUAAAUUUAAAUGUGGCCUCCUCACAGGAUCGAGAGUACAAAUUAAUUAAAGAGAGAGACAGAUGAUAGAGAUGAUUAGAUACAGAGCAGAUCUUUAAUUGUAGCUUUUUCUUUUUCUUUUCUUUUUUUUUUUUUUUUUUUNAUUAAGUCUAGUUGAUGUAUAGCUUGUUAUAUUUAGCAAGCAUAUAUGUUUAAUAUUGUAAGAUUAAUUACCAACUUAAUUAUCAUGUACAACAUAAAAUGAGAGUGUGUUGGGUGUAAUAUAGAAUGAUAUGCAUUACGAUAAAGUUUGCAAACUAUGGUGUGUAUUGUAUACGUCAAUUUCAUAUUAACUUAUCUCCCCUUGUUUUGAUGAUAUGUUGUUGCUCUUUUUUUUUUUUUUUUUUUUUUUUUUUUUUUUUUUUUUCUGAACUUGCCUUGAUUUAUUUUUUAUAUAAAAAUUAUUGAGAAGAAUCAGAAAGUAAAGAUAGGAUAAUCGAUAUAUACUUCAGAUUUGGUUACUGUUUGAUCCUCCACUCUUGAUGUUUCAAAUUAGUAUUUGUUUGAUUAAUUUUUGUUUCUAUUUUAAGAAGCCGCUAACACUAAAGAGGAGUUGACUAAAGAGGAGUUGGGCUGGAAUUAAUACUCUUGUAGAUAUUAUUUAAUUUUUAACACUUACAAAAAAAAAAAAAUAGUGGUCACAUUAGGAUUUUAUGAAAAUCAAAAUAGAAAUUUAAUAAUUAAAAAUUAAAUAAUAUUAAGCGUUUGAUACUCUUAAUAAUAUUUUAAAUUAUUUUUUUUUCUUAUGCUAUAUGCAGCAGCAAGACUAAAUAUCCCGUCUUGAAAGAUGAGUGAGUUGGUUUGGGAAAUAUAAAUGCUUUCGUGCCGUGUGGUGAUAAUGAGACGAGAAGGGCCAACUGCCGAAGAGCAGGUUAGAUCAGUACUGUCUGCCUUUUUUUUAAUGGCACCCAGCACCCUUGGCUGUCUCCCGCCGCUGCAAGGCUGUAUUGUAUGUUUCUUUCUUCUUUUGCAUUUAUUUGGUGGCCUCCUGGUGGUUGCAAAGGCUGCGGGCGGAUUGCAAGUUUUAUACGGACCUAACUCAAUUAAGAGUGUGACCCACUACCACGUCCGUUGCGUAUUGAGCUUCUGUUUCGAGUAAUGUGUGAUGUAGAUCUAGUUUGACAAAAAUGCAAUAACUAUAUAUAAAAAAUAUAUAUAUAAUAUAUAUAGUAUAUUAUAAUAUAUGAUAAUUUCAUCAAUACCCCUCUAGAAAUCAUAAUUAUAAACUAUAAAAUAUCAUCAAUACCCUCUAUAAAACUAAAAAUGUCACAAUACCCUUUAGGAAACUUUCUCUCAAGUGUCUAUCCAUAUUAUAAAUACCAAUUACCUCUAGCAACAAUUAAACAUAAUAUUUAAUAUUAAUUAUCUGAUAAUUUUUAACAUGAAUCACAUUUUUAAUUAUAUUUUAAAAAUCAAUUAAUAUAUCUAUAAGUAAACUUAAAUCUAUAUUUUUCGCUUUUAAAUUAUACAAUAUUAUAAUACAAAUUUGUCAUAGUAGAUCAACUAUUAACUAUUUAAAUAAAUAUUAAUUUCGAUUUGUUUUACGAGAUGCAAAACGUCCCCAAGAAACUCAAUAAAAAGAAAAACAUGAUAUUUAAGUAAAAAAUAAAACUUAAAGAGUUAUCAUAAAAUCUAUAGGAAAUUCAUUAUUUUUACGCCCAAUAAUUUAGUAGAAUAUUAUUUUUAAAAUUAGAAGGUAUUUAUGAAAUGGCCCUUAAUUAUUCAUCAAAAUAACACCUAACCCUUUCGGUUAAUUUCAUUUUGUAACUCAACCUUUUAUUUAACAAUUAUUAACCAUGUAUAUAACAGCGUUAGAAGAAGUAUUGUGAAAAUUUUGCAUUGAGCGUAUAAAGAUAUUUCACUUAUGCGGCUAUCUAUGAUAUUACAUAUUAGUAUGUAAAUUCCCCUAAUAAUAUAUAUAUAUAUAGUCCGCGCCAUGGUGUGUACUACAUUAGCCACUAAGGAUUCUAUUAAAUUUCACCUUUAAUUAAUCUCUUGAUUAUUUUUAUCCGACAUUAUACAUCAACCUUAAACCAUUCACUCAACUCCUUUAUCCACACUUCAUCCUAACCAGCCAUUUUACAUCAAGACUAAAAAAUCUACACAAAUAGCUUGUCUCAUUCAUGUAUUCAGCCUUAAUUCAUUAUAUACACGUAAAUAUAAACAACCGAAUAUCUAUUAGCCCUGGUUUCUCAAAAAAGGAUAACCGAAAUUAUCCCGCGACCAAGCUAUUCCGUCAAACGUAUAUUUUAUUCAUCCGGAUUAUUAUUUCUAUCAAUUCAUUUCUACGCUUCCAGAUAUAGCUUGAAUUUACUAUCUAUCAUUUUGAUGAAUGUCUAUUCAAAUUUUAUUCCAAAUUGAUUAAAAUUAAAUUGAAUUAAUAACUAAAUUAUAAUAAAAUAAUAUUUAUAUAUUAAUAUAAUUUUAUUAUAAAAUAUUAAUUACUCUAAUAUAAACAUUUUUUUAUUUAAAUAUAUAAUAAAUUUUAUAAUAUAUAAUUAAUAUUUAAUAAAUUAUUUUAUAAAUUAAUUUAAUAGACAUUUCAAAUAAUUUAAAAAUUAAUUAAUAAUAAAAAAUUUAUAAUUAUUAAAAUUUAUUUUAUCAAUUAUAAAUUUAAUAUAGUAAAUUAUUUUUAUUAAUUGUUCCCACCCCUAUUCUUAUUUUAAAAUUUUAAAAUUUAAAAUUUAUAAUUUAAAUAUUAAAUUUUUAAAAUUUAUAUUUUGUAAUCUCAAAAUGAAAGUUUAUAAUUUUAAAUUCUGAAUUUUGAUAUUUUAAAUUUUUAAAAUUUAAAAUUUGAUAUUUGAUAUUUUUUAAAUUUAAAUUUGAUCCUAAAUUUAAAGUUUGAAAUUUAAAAUUUUAUUUUCAAAUUUUGAAAUUUAAAAGUUAAAAAUUAAAAUUUAAAAAUAUAAUUAUAAAAUUUAAAAAUUCAAAUUCAAAUAUAAUGAGAGGGGUAAUAUCAUUAUUUUUUUAUUUAUAACUAUCCACUAUUCUUCGUAUUCUACCUUAUCUAUCUAAACACUAUUUUUUUAUUCCCGGGAGCAACCAAUUUUCAUACAAACGCAAAAUUAGGCUAAUUCUUGUUUAUACUUGAACUUAUACUAGAAUAGGUUGCUCUUACUUAUAUCCGAACCAAACGAUACCUUAGCAAGCAUUAGGUUGGGAAAUAGAGAGAGGAUAACGGGUUAUAUCCCAUUACCCCCCGACACAAAAAAAACGGAGUGGGAUUGGUAUCCCACCCCUUAACAGGUUAUCCUGGGAUAACCCGUUAAGGGUUGGAAUAGCAAUACCACCCCUUAUGUGGAAUAGGGGCGCUAUUUAAUUUUUUUAAAAAAUUAAUUUAAAUUUUAAAUUUUAAAUUUUAAUUUUUAAAUUUUAAAAAUUUAUAAUUUGUAAUUUUAAAUUUUAAAUUUUAAAUUGAUAUUUUAAAAUUUUAAAAUUUAAAUUUCAUAUUUUAGAUUUUUAAAUUUAGAUUUAAUCUUAAAUUUAAAAUUUAAAAUUUAAAACCUUGAAUUUUAAAAUUUGAGAUUUAAAAAUUUAAAUUUAAAUUUUGAAUUUUUAAAACUUAAACGUUAUAUAUUUAAAUUUAAAAUUUAAAAUUUAAAAUUAAAAAAUUUAAAUUCAAAUAUAAUAGGCCUUUUUGCAUAAAAAAUUCACUUAUUUUGGGCUUUUGCAAAAUCGGAUCACCUUUUUCGUUUUUGCAGAUUUGGUCCGCUUUUUCAGCAAACUGACCAAAAUACUCUUAUUACUUUUUCUCUUUCCUCUUUCUCUCUCCUCUUCGUUUCUGUCGGUUUUUUUUUUCUCGCCGAAAAAAAAAGGCGGACCGGACCGUUGCCUUCUUCUUCACCGUCGCCCCCCUCCUCACCCUCCUUCUUCACCGUCGCCUCCCUCCUCACCCUCCUCUCCACCGCCCGCGACCCCCUCCUCCUCUCCCCCGCCGCCGUCGCCGAGCCCACCCCCACCGUCGUCUCCGUCGCCGUCGUCGAGCCCACAGCCAUGGCGGCGGCGGCGAAGGCGGAGGAGAGCGGGGAGGAGGGGAGGGGGUCGCGCGACUCCAUGGCCACCACCACGCUCUCACGGCACCUCCCUGCCGUCGCCGUCGCCGUCGCUAUUGGCACUGUCGUCGUCGUCGUCUUCCGCCUUCUUCGGCGUCGCGUCGCCGAGUAUGGAGCCCGUGUCGGCGCCGGGGGGCUCAAAGAAGAGGCGGUCGACGUGCGCCGACGACUUAAUGCCGCGUAUCACGCUCUUCGACGACUCGCCGUCGUACUACUCGUCGUCGGACGGCGCCGUCGACAGGCUGGUCAUGUCCCGAUCGCGCCCCUCGUCCGACGAGUUGGUGAAGCGCGACUCCGGCGAGUCCGGCCGGUACACCGAGUUGGCCGUCUUGUACAUGCAGCCCGACGACUGCGAGGCGGAGAAGAAGACGACGGCGAAGAAGAAGGCCUAAACUGGAUGCGGAGGCCGAGGCGGAGAAGAAGACGAUGGCGAAGAAGAAGAAGAGGAGGCCGAGCGGCAGGGCGCAGGAGAGGGAGGCGGAGGCGCAGCCGGCGCCGGCGCCGGCGCCGCGCGUGUUCUUCUCUGUCGGCGCCGCCCCUCCUCCCGCCGCCGCGCAGAAAGUGAAUGGUGUAAUUGUGCAAAUGGUGUAACGGUGUAACGGUGCAAAUAGUAUAAUGGUGUAAUGGUGUAAAAUUGUAAUGGUAUAAUGGUGCAAAUGGUGUAAUGGUGUAAUGGUGCAAAAUGGUGUAAUGGUGUAAUGGUGUAAUGGUGCAAAAUGGUGUAAUGGUGUAAUGGUGUAAUGGUGCAAAUGGUGUAAUGGUGUAAUGGUGCAAAAUUGUAAUGGUGUAAUGGUGUAAUGGUGCAAAUGGUGUAAUGGUGUAAUGGUGUAAUGGUGCAAAAUGGUGCAAAAUGGUGUAAUAGUGUAAUGGUGUAAUGGUCCCCUCUCCUCGCCGGCGCCGGCUGCACCUACGCCUCUCCCUCCUGCGCCCUGCCGCUCGGCCUCCCCUUCUUCUUCUUCGCCGUCGUCUUCUUCUCAGCCUCGGCCUCCGCAUCCAGCACGACCCCGUACGCCGCGGCUGCUGCCGCUGCCGCUGCGGCGACGGGAUCGGGCUGGGGGUCCGCGGCGCCGGCGCCGGCUGUGCUUCCGCCUCCCCCUCCUACGCCUUGCCGCUCGGCCUCCCCUUCUUCUUCUUCGCCGUCGUCUUCUUCUCCGCAUCUAGCCCGACCCCGUUCGUCGCGGCCGCUGCCGCCGCAGCGACGGGAUCGGGCUGGGGGUCCGCGGCGGCGGGGGAGAGGAGGAGGGGGUCGCGGGCGGUGGAGAGGAGGGUGAGGAGGGUGGCGACGGUGAAGAAGAAGGCGACGGUCCGCCUCUUCUUUUUUCGGCGAGAAAAAAAAAAGAACGACAAAAACGAAGAGGAGAGAGAAAGAGGAAAGAGAAAAAGUAAUAAGGGUAUUUUGGUCAGUUUGCUGAAAAAGCGGACCGAAUCUGCAAAAACGAAAAAGGUGACCCGAUUUUGCAAAAGCCCAAAAUAAGUGAAUUUUUUAUGCAAAAAGGCCAAUAUAAUAUAAGGAAAAAUAUCAUUAUUUUUUAUUUAUAAUUAUUCACUAUUCUUAUUUCAUCAUAUCUAUCCUAACGCUAUUUUUUUUAUUUCUGGAAAUAACACAAUUUUCAUUCAAACGCAAAAUUGGCCUAUUUCAUGCUUAUACCUGAACUUAUACCCAUCCCUGUAAUAAACAGUUAUUGCUUACAUCCGAACCAAAUUUAAAUAUUUUUAUAUUUAACACCCCCCUCGCGUGUGGGUUUGAGACUUUUUAUAGACCCCAUGAUGUAUAUUUAAAUUAAAUUAGAGAAAAUAUAAUGUUAGGAGCUUGGAGUAACUCGAACCUUAAAUAUACAAAACAACCGUUAUACUCUAAACACUUAAAAUUGUAGAGAACAGUGUUUAUAUAUAUUUUUAUAUUUAACAGCCCCCCUCAAGUCUGCGUUCGAGACUUCUUGCAAAGCCCAUGACAUGGACUUGAAUUAAUUAAAUAGGAGAAAAUUAGUAAUGCUAGAAGCUUGGUGUGACUCGAACUCAGAACCUUCUACUCUCACACCAUGCGAAACAAUCUUUGUACUCUAAAAGAUUAAGCUGAUAGAUAACGGUGUUUAAAUAUUUUUAUAUUUAAUAAUAUAUAUUUGGUUUUAAUAUGCUAGUGGCGCCAAAGAUAGAAGUACUUCAAGAGCAUGUUUGGUUUGCACUAUCGGUAUACUGGGGCAUCUCGUCGCAAAGCAAUUUGAUCAUUAUGAUUGGAAAUCCAACCGGUUGGAUUUUUCGGGUUUAUGAUUCUUGUAGAACAACUUGAUCGGUUGGAGUGCCAAUCCGAUCAGUUCGAUUAGGUAGAAAUAUUGAAAAUUAAUUUCCGAUCGAUUGCACCUCUCUGAUCGGUCGGUUUUGGAGGUCUGAUUUGUCUGAUUUAAUAGUUUGAGUCUGGUUUGAAUCUGAGGUUUCGAGACUACAUAUAUGACCUCAUGUGUAGCUUAUUUGAUGGACUUUUUGGAGAGCACUACUGAGAAAAAUUAAAAUUUUGGAGAGCCACCAAAAGAGGAAAAAAAAAAAGAAGAGAAAAAAAGAAAGGUUUAGAGAGUGUUUCAAUCAACAGGAGAAGAUUGGAGAACGUAGAUUGGAGGGGUUCGCUCAACCGGGUGUUAAAGUUGUUCUAGCAAAGGUAAAGGUGUCCAAAAUAUCCGAAAUCCCAUACCCGACCCGGACUCUAUCCGGACCCGAACCAGAUCCGAACCGGACCCGAUAAAAAAUGAAUAGUAUACGGAUAAAAAAAAUUACCCAUUAAAGUUUCGGGUAUGGGUCCGGAUAUUUUAUACCCAUACCCGAUUUGGACCCGACCCGAACCUAACUUUUAAAUGGGUAGGGUCUGGAAUAGUUUUCAAAUCCAGACCCAGACCCGGACCCGAUAAAAUAUCCGAUAGUAAAUAAAAAAAAAAAUAAACUUUUGAAGUUGAAGGAUCAAUUUUAAUAUGACUUAUAGAUGAUGAGUCACUACGUAUUUUCAUCCUAAUGAAACCCUAGCCGUCUCUUUUACUCAUUACUUUUUUCUAAUUUUUUUACUCUUUAUUUUCUACUCAUUUUUUUUCAUUUCAUUUCCGCCAACAAUAUUUCAUUGUCAUCAUCAUCAUCAGUGUCAUCAUUAUCAUCAUCAGCGACAAUAUUUCUUUUGAAUGAAUUUUAUUAGACGGUGCAACUUAUUAGAAUGCGAGUUUUUUUAUGAUGGACUUUAUAGUUUGUCUAUUAACUAUUUAACAAAGUUUAUAAAAAAAUAUAUAUUUAUACAGAUAUCCGUAUCCGAUCUAGAUCCGAUCCAUAUCCGGUCUUGAACGGGUAGUAUACGGGUAGUCACUACCCAGACCUGCUCAAAUAGACCCGAUAGGUAUAUUAGUAACUUUAGUACCCAGAUCCGGAUCCGACCCGAAGUUAAAUGGGUAGGGUAUAUAUAUUUUUUUGUAACCAUUUCUUUUUAGGGUAUGGGUACAGUAUAUUAAUUACCCAGACCCGACCCAGUCCACGGACAUCUUUAAGCAAAGGUUCUUUUGUUAGUGAGAUUAUUUCAAUCUUGAGUUCUUUCUUCCCUUAUUGAAAGCGGCAUUUUCGGCAUGGUGUUGAAGAAGAUGUUGUAUUCUUAACUGUUUUAUAGUGAAGCACCUUUUUGCUCUUAUUUGAAUAGACAUAGACUUCAGGUGAACUACGUAAAUAUUCAUAUUCUUGGUUGCGUGAUUUAUGUGUUUUCUAUGUACUUUGUUGUCGUCAUCAAGUGUUGAAGUAAACACUAGCGCAUAGAGGAUUAAUCUUCAACGGAUCUCACGAUUAAAUAAACUUACAUCUACAAAUUACUCGAUUUGGAAGCCUUACAUAGAAUUUUUAUAAUCCAAUCAAAGGAGUUGUUGCUAUGAUUAAGAAGAUGUGAGACGGAGAAUGAGAUAAAUUAAAUCGCAAAACCAUUGGACUCAUUCGACAGUGGAUUGAUGAUAGCGUCUUCCACUAUGUUUCAAUGGAGGUUAAUGCCUAUAGCCCUAGUUGAAAUUGAAAAGUUUAUAUGAAAGAAACAUUGAAUAAGGCAUUCUUGAUCUGUAAAUUGGUAUAUACAAAAUACAAAGAGGGGGUUUCUGUGGCGGAGCAUGCAAUUAAUUUUCAAAAUAUGGUAAACCAGCUAGCCACGAUGAUGAUGACGUUAGAUGCGGAGCGUUAAGCCCUACUAUUGUUAAGUUCAUUGCUUGAUAGUUGGGAAACCCCUGUAAAAGGAGCUGCGAGUUUUGAGUCAUAAUAAGGCCCUCGUAAUUAAAAGAGAAAAAAAUAGCAAGUAUAGAGACAUCGUGAGAGAGGUCCAAGCGCAAAAGUGGUCGGCGUUACAACUAUGACAAAUGGGGCUAGUGUUAAACAACCGUUAUACUCUGUUAUCGAAAUUUUUUUAUAAGGCCCAUGAUGUGGACUUAAAUUAAAUGAAGGAAAUUAAUAAUACUAGGAAUCUGACGUGACUCGAAUUCAGAAUCUCCUAUUUUGAUACCAUGUGAAAUAAUUAUUAUAUUUUAAAAGCUUAUGCUGUUAGAGAACGGUGUUUAUGUAUUUUUAUAUUUAACAGCUAGUUCAAAAAGAUUGUCGAAUCCUGAAGAAGAGAAGGUGAAGAACAAGUGAUCAGAUGAUGACUCCAACUUGGACAAUGAGACGGCAUCCAUUUUUACAGGAGAGGAGGUGAUCAUUCUCCAUGACAUAGUGGACGAUGGUCUAGUAGGCACUACAAGCCAAGACUCCACUUGGGUGAUUGACUCCUCCCCUUCGUAUCAAUGUUAUUGUGAGGUGAAACUUAUUCUCAUCUUAUCAUUAUGGAGAGUUUCGGAUAGUGAAAAUGGGAACUGACGAAGAAUCAAAGAUUGCCUGCAUCGGAGACAUUGUGACGACGCAAGUUUGGGUAGAGGUUGGUGUUGAAAAUGUUUGAUAUGUACUAGACAUUCACUUAAACCUGUUGUUGAUAGGGGUUCUAGAUGAGGAGGGCUACUACAGUGUGUUUGGCGAUCAUCAGUGGUUGUUGACUAGCAAAUCACUAGUAGCAGCUAGAGGUACCAAGCAAGAUAAUCUCUACUUAAUACAGGCUAAACUCGAAAACGGGGAGGUGGAUAUAGCGAGGAAUCUACUAUCUUAGAGUUAUAGCAUCCGUGUAUGGGACACAUGAGCUAGAAAAGUAUGUCAAUUUUAGCUAAAAAUAGUGCUAAAUUGAAAAUGUGCAAAGAGCUGCUUGAUGGAAAUUUAAACUUGACUCUCUCAAAGAAAAUUUUUGCUGCAUUAGAUCUUGCUCACAGUGACAUUUGUUCUAUGGCUGAUAAAACUCUUAGUGGUUGCUCUUAUUUUGUAACUUUCAUUGAUGAACACUCAUAAAAGGUUAGGGCAUAUGCUUCGAAAUCGAAGGAUCUGGUGCUCGAUGUAUUCAAGUAAUUUCACAUCUUUUUUAAAGAGGGAAAGAAACUAGGUGAAAAUUUGAGUGCAUUUAGGCGUGUAAAGGAGAUGGAUAUAAGGAUUUUCGAGAAGUAAUGUUAACAUGGCAUCAAACAUGAAAAGAUAGUUUCUAAUAAAAGUCGCAGCAGAGUGCGGUUGCUAAGAGAAUAAAUGGAACGGCGCCCAGUGAGAAAAUCAGGAGUAUGCUCUCUCAUGCUAAACUACCAAAGGCGUCCUAGGGCAAAUAAUCGAUGAUUGCGAACUACCUUAUUAAUCUUUCUUUUAAUUUCCUAUUCUCUUGAGGUUGAUACACCACAAAAAAUAUAGUUAGUUUGAAAGUGUUUGGAUAUAAGGCGUUCGUGCAUAUUCCUAGGAAUGAGAGGUCUAAGCUAGAUGCUAAGGCGAAAUAUAGUACACAUGGAAAUGAUAGUACACAUGAAGGUCACAAGGGUGAGAAAAGUGUAGGUGAUAUUCUGAUUGAACUAUAUAAUGAGCUACCUGCACAAACGGUUCGAAGAUGUGAAAGCGGGAAAUGUGAAUCAAGUGGGAUUCGAACUUGGAACCUCGGGUAACAACCAUAAAGUCUUUUGCCACUUGCUCUGAAGACAGUCGGUACCAUAUGGUUGUUUGUUAUUGAUGAAUACAGGAGUGUUUGAGUCCUACUUUGAAGUUACAAAGUAUUUUUUUUUUUUUUUUUGGAGAAAGGCAAUGAAGGAGGAAAUGAAUUCCUUCUAGGAAAAUAAUAGUUGCAUGCUUGUGAAGAAAGCCAAGGGAAAUUGAGUAAUAAAAACUUUACUCAAAUUGAGUACCCAAGUGUUCACGUCGAGCCAUAGGAGAAAUAAUAGUUGACAACUAAGAUAUAAGGCAAGAUUGGUUGGACCUACUCAGGUAUAUGCAAUAGAUCUGCCGAAUGGGUAAGGUCCUCCUUUUUCGCACGAAGUAGAAAUAUAAUCAAUCUGUAAAACUCAUACAUGAUAUGGGUACACAAAGCAUCAAAGUGGAUUUUUCUAAAUUUAAAACCAUUAAGAAAAUCUUUUUUUUUUUCUUUUUGCAUUUUUCUCUAACGUUGUACAUUUCAAAGAGUGGGUAAAGGUUGGAAUGUCGGCAGCAGGACCGUUGGACAACGUUCCUUUUACCCACGUCGGGCGCGAGCCUUGCUGUUCCAUUUCGUGCAAGAAACGCAUUCAUGUUCUCCUGGAAAACGAAAUAAAAAAUAACCGAUUUACCCUCCAGCAAGCCGCAACUCGGUAGUUAGUAUUCAAGAUUCGAAGUUCAAAAUCUAGUUACUUUAUAUUUCUAACAAGUUUAUUUUUUAAAAAAUGAAAAAAGCGGGCAUGCUAUCCUUUUCUAAAAAAAUAAAAUAAUAAAUAAUAAAUAAAUAAAUUAAAUUUUGUAAGACACGAAACAAAAUGAAUUUAAGCAACCCCAGUUACAAACUAAGCCGCAGCUUUUAUUUUUGGACAAGGGUACUUAUUCAAUAAUUUAAGGAAUGAUUAAUUUAAGGAAUAAUUUAAGGAAUGAUUAAUUACACAAUUGAACAACUGAAUUCACUGCGUAUUCCUUUUAUUAGGUUAUUAACUUUUAUUUAUUACGAUUGAUUAUUACUUUCGUAUUUUCAACGGAGAAACUGCAGUUAAUUAAAUCUUUAUACUCUUGAGAUGAAGUGGUAGUUAGCUAUACCAUCAAUUAUUAGAGAAACUAGUGUUGAACCGGCGCUUUCGCCGCGGAUAAUUUUAACACUAAUAUUUUGAUGUAAAUUUUAAUAUAUAAUAAUUACGAAAAAUGAGAAAAAGAAUAGAAUUAAAAUAUCAACACAUAUGUAUGUAAGGGUGCGUUUGGUUCGAGUUAUCCUGGCAGGAUUACAGGCAAUCCUGUCACGCCCCGGAUGUCUCGUUCCCCGGGCACGCCGACAAAUCCGCCGUAUACAAAGAAAUUUUUCCUGUAUACUACAAAAAAAUUUUUCCUGUAUACGAAGCGACAGCUGUACCUGUAAACAUACAAUACUACAAACAGUAGUAUAGAGCUGCUCGAGUAAACAAAAGCUAAACAAACUAAGCUUCACAUACAUAGUUCAAAAAUCAAAACACAGAGUUACUCGCACUGGCGAGUUAAGUACUAUGUACAUAAGCUCGAAAUAAAACAACUACCUGCAGUAGGGUGCCUCUAGCUCUGCUCGGCGGGUAGGGCUCUAACUCGCGACGCCCUUGCCUCGAUCCUGAUCCGCGGAAGGCGCAGCAGCCGAAACCUGUGGCUCUGCAAAACAGGGGUAACAAUUGGGCGUGAGAACUACUGUAAAAACAAGUAGUCCUCAGUGGGUACCGCCCAAAACAACAUUGGUCCACCCACUAAGUCUACAGAAUGGAGCAAGAAUAGUCGGAAAAGCAGGAAGUAAACUCUACCGCUAUCAAUCACUACACUAUCAUGCUCUACACUAACCAACUGUAGGAAAUGUCAAAUCUGACCCAAUCCAAUCGGGACUGUAAAUACACCCGUCCCUGCCCAGUUGCGACUAUCCAGCUACCUCCACACUAACUGGUCCGUGGAGAGCAAGUCCAACCGGCAUGAGCGACACCAACGCGAAAGCACAAAGCCCGUCUCCGGAGUGGCACUCGUGGGCGCUACCCAACCGAGUAUGCAGCGUAUCUCUGUCGAGCUCAAUCAGGCUCUGUCAAGCCAAAGUCCAAGUAACCGACUCUAACUGGUCUAACAACAAACAAGUAACGUACCCUCGGCACAAUCUGACGCCAAAGCGGCGAACCGGGCCCACCACCGUCAACCCCAACGGCGCCCAAAAGUCCGAAACAGCCCAAACGGCCCUGUAAAAAUCCACUCGGCGAAUCAGCACGAGCGUAAAUAUAUUCUAAACUACCUGGAGUACUCAUCUCGAGGAUACUGCGACAGUAUAAUUUUAUAACGGCUCCUAGAGCUAAAUCAGGCAGUUUAAAUAAGUGAUAGGUCCAAAUCGCAGGUUUUCUCCUAAUUCAAAUUUCAAGUCCAACAUAUAUAAACUACUCAAUUUAUUAUCACAUACUCCAAAUUCAGAUAUACAAUCAAUCAUAUAAUCCAUGAAUUCGAGUUAGAAUAGAUUAUCCAAAUCGAAAUCUAUACAUGUCGACGAUUAUGAACUUAGGAGUAAAACCGAUGUAAACCCACCUCAAAGCUAAUCCCUGGCAGCGAAGGACUCCCACUGGUGUAGAGCGACCUGCUGGAUCAACCGGAAUCCGCCGAGUCCAGAAUCGAGCUAACUCUACGCUCUACACAACACAAGUCACCAAUUCAGUCUAGAAAUUGCAGCAGUGAGGUACAACAGGGAUUCGACCAAGCUAACCUUCACCAAAUCCAGCAAGUAAGGGCUUCGUGGAUUCCUCUCGCAGUCCUGAAUCCAACGAACUAAGCCUCGCUAAAAUCCGAUGCUCCUACGACAAGUACGAGCUGAAAUACUAACAGUCGACGAUGAAUUUCAGAAAACAACAUCACUCCGAGAUGAAGUAGUAAGAACUUGCCCAAAAACCAUGGAAAUGCUGAAUUACCCACCUCGACAACGCCAAGCACCGGUGCGACAGCAAGAACGGCGAAAACCUACGCUCGCCCCGCCUCCUCGCGCUACCCCGGCGUCAAACACGUGCUCGAACGGCUCCGCGGCGCAACGUCGGCAACGAAUUCUCCAACCGAGCUCUCUUGCCUUCAACCGGAUGAAAGUGAGAGAGAGGUGAAGAAAUGCAGCAAGAGGACCUCUCUCUCUCUCCACACGAAGCUAUAUAGAGAGAGGGAGGGUCGGUGAUACAAAUGAGGGAUAAAAUUACUCAUUUAGCCCUUUACCUACCCCCUUGUACCGGUACACGGGCUCCUAUACCGGUACAAGAGCCAACCCGAGAGCAGCUAAACCAGUGCGCGAUGGUUGUACCGAUACAGCGUGCUAGUUGUACUGGUACAGCAAGCAGAGAAAUCUGCUGUUUUGCAGAAUUCUUCGCGAUAAGCUGCCCUCGCGUCGCACGGAGUCCGUUUUGCGUCUAUUUGACGCCAACGCGACUCGGACUUGUCCCGACACUCUCCAGAGCUGCCGACAAGCCUCCACAACAGAACACCAGGGAUCUCACAAAUCCUUCCAGGAUAACUGUGUUUGGUUAAUCCGCUAUGUAAUCUAGUCGUUAAUGUAGCAUUACAAAUCGAGCAGGAUUACAUCGAAAAUAUUAACGGGAGGGGGUCGUGUAUCUUGCAUUACUGAAACCCGUUAAUACUACAUAUUAUGUAAAAUGACAAUUUUACCCUCCAACAAUCCCAAAUCUAAUUAACAGCAUUAUUUUCAUCUCUCUCGUCUUCCCCCCUCUCUCUCGCACGUCGCUUUCUCCUGCUCUCUCUUUCUCUCUCUCGACGUCUCUCUCUCUCUCUCUCUCUCUCUCUCUCUCUCUCUCUCGCGCGCGCGCGCGCACGAACACCUAUCAUCUUCUAUUGCGUCAUCCUCUCAGGUAAUCAUCAUGAUCUCCUUCCCUCCAUUCGUCAUUUCCGCAAAAAAUAAUAUUCAAAUGACCACAACAAGAGCAAUUUUGAAAAAAACUACACUUUUAUGUCAGGAUUACUAAAUUUUAUAAACUGAACCAAACGUAUUAAUGCUAUAAACACUGUAAUCUAGUAUUACAUUACUGCAUUAAACCAAACGCGCUAAUACAGCAUCAGUAGUAAUCUCACGCCGAAAUCCAAGAUACCUGAAUAUGUUGAGAUACUUUAUAAUAUUACAUAACUCGAACCAAACGGACCCUAAAGGCAAAAGAAUAGAAGCCAAAAAUAAUUUGUCAUGAAAAAAUAAAAUGGAACGAAAACAAAAUAUAUAAUUAUGAACUAUACAAAAUAUAUAUUUAGCUUGAGUGAUUGCUAAUUAUUUUAAUAUAUAUAUAAGUAAUUUGGAUUGACAAUAAAAUAUGUAAUUAUGUAAUAUGCAAAUAUAUAUUUAGUUUGAACAAUUUACUUUUAAAACAAUUCUAAAAGAAAAUAAUUUUUACUUUUGUUUUCGAAAAUUAUAAAGAGAGAUUACGUAGAAAUUAUUACAGAUAAAAGAGGUUUAGAUGAGGCUUGUGAAUCAAGAUGUGAGUAAGCACUAUCCUAGAAGCGAUAUUGCCUCUCCAUGUGUGAGGCUCUAACAAUCACUCCUAGAGAUAUAAUGACCACCAGUUUCCACCCCCUCGGCACGUCUUCAUGGUGGUGCAAUACGUAGCCAAGUAGCUAUCAGAAAUCCAGCAAAAAAUAGAAAAAAAAAUAUAAAGUUUAGUGCACGAGGGAGAAAGGAGGAAGAAGCAAUUAGAAAAAUUCUUCACGAUUCCAACCUCAUGAGUACAUGUUCUUCUAUAUAUACACCCAAAUCAAGAUGAGAAUUUUGUUCCUUCUCGAGAUAAGAAAAUAAGAAAAUUUUUCAAUGUUCCAGCCUCAUGAGUACAUGUACUCCUAUAUACACACGCGAAUCAAGGUGAAAAUUUUGUCACUUCUGAGUACAUGUUCUUCCAUAUACACACGCGAAUCAAGGUGAAGAUUUUGUCCCCUUCUUGAGAUAAGGAAGAUUUGGAUAAAUUUGAUACCUUUUCGAUGUGGAUUUGAAAAUAUUUGGUACCUUCCCAAGGUGUAAUCAUAAAUUCAGAUUUGGUACUUUACCGAAAUAAAGUAAUCAUGAAAUUCAAAAUAAAAAAAAUACUGAAAAAAAAUGGAAGCGCCAAGUGUAUUUAACAAACCACCAAUUUAUAUAUUUGUAUUGAUGAUUGAUAGAUUUGGUACCUUCCCAAAAUUGAUUUGAGAAGAUUUGGUACCUUCACGAGGUACCUUUUUGAGGUAAGAAAGAUUUGGAUAGAUUUGAUACCGUUUCGAUGUCGCGUAAUCAUAAAUCCAGAUUCGAUACUUUACCGAAAUAAAGUAAUUAUGAAAUUCAAAAUAAAAAAUACUGAAAAAAUAUGGAAGCACCACGUGUAUUUAACAAACCGCCAAUUAUAUAUUUGUAUUGAUGAUUGAUAGAUUUGGUACCUUCCCAAGAUUGAUUUGAGAAUAUUUGGUAUCUUUACGAGGUGUAAUUAUAAAUCCAGAUUUGGUACUUUACCGAAAUGAAGUAAUCAUGAAAUUCAAAAUAAAAAAAUACUAAAAAAAACGUGAAAGCGCCACGUGUAUCUAACAAACUGUCAAUUUAUAUAUUUGUAUUGAUUGAUUUGUAUUGAUGAUUGAUAGAUUUGGUACCUUCCCAAGAUGGAUUUGAGAAGAUUUGGUACCUUCGAGGUGUUAUCAUAAAUCCAGAUUUGAUACUUUACAGAAAUAAAGUAAUCAUGAAAUUCAAAGUAAAAAAAUACUGAAAAAACGUGGAAGCGCCACGUGUGUCUAACAAACCGCCAAUUUAUAUAUUUGUAUUGAUAGAUAAUAGAGCUCAUAAGAAUAACCUAAUUGAAGGGAAAAAAGCUAAAAUUACUCAAAUCUAAUACAAAAGAGUUCAAUGACCUAAUUAAGACUGAUAAAUUCAAUUACCAAUUGUAUAAAUUAUUCUUUAAUGGAUGAAAAACUGGUAGAACGGUUCAAAUAACUCAUCCGUGGGAAAUUGAACAAACAAUUCAAACAACAAAGUGUAAAUAUUGAUAUAAAACAUAAAAAAAAUUAUCCAUGGGAGUGCUAGCUAAAACAAUAAUAUUUGCUUAUCUGCAUGCAGGUGCUAGAAAACUACGCAUAUGUAUAUGUUGUUCGACAGACAAUUCAUUCUCAUUAUGAUGCGAACACGAACAAUUAAAGACACAGAAAUGAGAAAGGAACCACUGAACAAGUGCGACCUAAAUGUCGACGUACAAUUUUUUACAGAAACAAAUAAAAUAUUUUUUUUAUUACACUUUCUGACUGCACAUAAGCAUACUCUCUGCAAUCCGAGAUGAAACCUUCGCACAAGGAGGUGAUUGUUAGUGAUAUACCCUAAAGCCAAUCGGUGACACAGGCUUGUGAAUAUAUUAAGUAUUUUUCUUAAUUAAUAAAGGGCAAGUUUUAUUCAUAUUUAUUGUUAGCAGUACAAUACAUAUAUAUGAAUCGUCCAUUGAAUCUUUGUUAAGAAAAUAUAUUCCUAAGAGUUAGGAAUUUGAGAUAUAUAUUUCUUUGUACAAGAUUCUUAAAUGCUCCUAGCCAUAGGAAUAUCAUAAGGACGAUGAUAUUUCCGGAUAGGCCGGUGUAUGCUAUACUUCUAAGUUGAGGUGACGAAUCUCAAGUCAUUAGUGUAAGGACACUAAAGUAAGCAUGCAGGUGCUUGUUAGAGAACAAGUACACUGAGCGUGACCAUUUAGUUGAACAGUCACAUGGUUCCGAAUUCGCCAGUGACUAGUUCUUUGCUACAGUUGUGUGAAGUACUCCUUAGACCUGAGGCAUCAUGGUUGCUUCACAUGUAGAUUGCUACUGUUUAACUGUACUAAUACUUAGACUCUAAUGAUUGGUCUAUGUCUGGUACUGAUUGGCUGUAGUAGUUUAUAUGGGGAGGCAUGUGAAUGCGCAAUAAGGAAUUCAACACUCUCAAUAGUGAGAGAGAACGUCCUAUGUAGACUGUCGAACUUGACUCGGAAAAUCCUUGGCCAGGGUACGUGGUGUGUGGAAAGAGUUUCCACCUGUGUUACCAUAUUGAGUCAGUUUUAGAUAUUCUAGUCAUAUGAUCGAAUAAUAAGAUUUGGCGAGUAACCAUAAUUUUUAGUUCGAUCGGGGCGUUGUAUGUUGGAAGGAAUUAAUCACAUAGUAACUGUUAAUGAAAAGGUUCGUUUUUCAUCAUCAUUCUGGAUUACCGUGAUAUACUGCUAGGUGUCACUCACGGACAGUGAGAAGCUGAAAUAAUUUAAAAUAAAUUAUUUCAUAGAUUAGAAGAGUUCUAAUUCAAUAUUAAAGAGUUUAAUAUUGAAUUCCACUGCCGAAUGAUAAUGAACCUAUGCGGUCACACACAAUAGGAAUUGUGUGCAUCCAAUUUGAUAAGAUGAGUCUAAUUGAUACACUAAAUAGUUUAGUGAAAAUUGUGAGAAUUAUAAUUUGAUUUAAUCUCUAAUUAGAUUAGAGAAUAAUUAAUUAUUCAUAGAUUAUUAUGAGAUAAUAUUCUAAAUAGAUUAUAAUAUGAAUAUUUAAUGGAUAAGAUCCAAUUAAAUUAAAGAGAGAGAGACAAAGAUAAUAUAUCCAUAAAGAUAAGUAUAAAUUUGUUUUACUUAUCUAUGGGAACUAAUUGGAUAUGAUCCAAAUUAGUUAUACCAGAAUGCAUGCAACAAUUUAUGCAACUAAUUGGAUGUGAUCAAAAUUAGUUGCAACAGAAUUUUGAGGAUGCCGAUGGUACGGCUAGGCGUGGCUUAAUCAAUUAUUAAUGCACGGCUACGUGAAUAUAAUAUAUCAUCCUUUUACGAGAGGAAUUUAAUAAUAGCCUCUUGAGAAAUAUUAGAUAAUCCAUCUCUCUCUAAUUUUUCCAAAAAAAGCAGUACAUCUCACAAAAGGCGAACGUGGAUAUCACGAGACUGCUAGCACCGUCUUUGUAAUCCGCGACUCAUCUAUUCCGUGCGACGGAAAGCAUUGGAUCUGGAUCAAUUCCGUGUGGAUACGCGUAGAGGCCGGGCACGUGUGCGGCUGAUCGGAAUUUCAGUUUCAACCGUACAGUAGAUCAAGAGACCUUAACUGGUCCGAGGUAAUGUAACCUGAACUUUAAAUCUGUUUAGGUUAGUUUUUAUUUUACAUUGCAACAUGAGAAUGAUCCACCGGCACUGGAUUGAUUUGUUUUAUUUU